CCUACGGGGGGCAGCAGUGAGGAAUAUUGGUCAAUGGACGAGAGUCUGAACCAGCCAAGUAGCGUGAAGGAUGACUGCCCUAUGGGUUGUAAACUUCUUUUAUAUGGGAAUAAAAUGUUCCACGUGUGGGAUUUUGUAUGUACCAUAUGAAUAAGGAUCGGCUAACUCCGUGCCAGCAGCCGCGGUAAUACGGAGGAUCCGAGCGUUAUCCGGAUUUAUUGGGUUUAAAGGGAGCGUAGGUGGAUUGUUAAGUGAGUUGUGAAAGUUUGCGGCUCAACCGGAAAAUUGCAGUUGAAACUGGCAGUCUUGAGUACAGUAGAGGUGGGCGGAAUUCGUGGUGUAGCGGUGAAAUGCUUAGAUAUCACGAAGAACUCCGAUUGCGAAGGCAGUUCACUGGACUGCAACUGACACUGAGGCUCGAAAGUGUGGGUAUCAAACAGGAUUAGAUACCCUAGUAGUC
rnacentral:rRNA from 1 species